UGGGGAAUAUUGGACAAUGGGGGGAACCCUGAUCCAGCAAUGCCGCGUGUGUGAAGAAGGCCUUCGGGUUGUAAAGCUCUUUUACCAGGGACGAUAAUGACGGUACCUGGAGAAUAAGCCCCGGCAAACUUCGUGCCAGCAGCCGCGGUAAUACGAAGGGGGCUAGCGUUGUUCGGAAUUACUGGGCGUAAAGCGCACGUAGGCGGAUUGUUAAGUCAGAGGUGAAAUCCCGGAGCUCAACUUCGGAACUGCCUUUGAUACUGGCAAUCUAGAGUCCGGAAGAGGUUAGUGGAAUUCCCAGUGUAGAGGUGAAAUUCGUAGAUAUUGGGAAGAACACCAGUGGCGAAGGCGGCUAACUGGUCCGGUACUGACGCUGAGGUGCGAAAGCGUGGGGAGCAAACAGGAUUAGAUACCCAAGUAGUCCCUGAGCGGGCUGGCAAGGCGCAU
rnacentral:rRNA from 1 species